UAAUUACAUUAAUGUUUCUUCAAGUGAGAUAUUUUUGGUCAUUUUUUUGACAAGUUUGGUAACGUACGUACACAAAGGUUGGAAAAAUGAUCUAUCCUUAACCUAGAAUAUAACGUUAAAGUUUGUCAAGUAAUAUUUUUAUAAAGAAUUAAGUAGUUAAAAUGUUUCCUUUACUUGUUGAUAUGACGGAAGACGAGUCGUGGAAGGUUUUAAGAUUUUUAGAACUUGAAGCCUAUUCUAGCCUUGUGACUGCACUAAGAGCACAAGGAUCCCUCGAUUCUAGUAAAAUGAAGUUUAUGAAAGAGGCUGGUAAUAUUUUACACAUAUCUGAAGAAAGAUUUAAGUCAGAACUUAAAAGGGUUGUUUUGGAUGAAAGGUUAAAUACUGUAGCAUAUUACGUCUCUGGAAGUGCAACUACUUGGGAAGAUUGGAUUCAAGAAGGGCGUAGUGUUAUUCCACCCUUGUCAAGAGCAGUACCUCAGACAGCUUAUUCAGCAAUUGCAAAUCAAGUGGCUGAUGAGGCUAGCAAAAAUAAUGAACUUUUACCUCUACCUGCUUACACUGAACGGAAAAGGGGUUCAUCUUUUUCUCAAUCCACAAAUGCUAUACUUGAAAGCAGUAAAAGUGUUCAGUUUCGUGUGCCAGAUACCGUAAAGACUGAAGAGAGUAAAAAACGUAAAAAUUCUUAUGGUAUUGAAAACUCUUCAAUUGGCCACUUCAUGAAUGCUCCUAAAAUGAGCAAAAUUCAACAAAUUUACAGACAGAGAACAAAAGCAAAGAUGAAAGAGCAACAACAAUUGAAACUUCGUCAGCAAGAGCAAGAACAGAAGAGUUACCAGCGAACUCAGCAGACAAUUCACCAAAAGUAUAAUCCGGCUUUCAACCAGCAGAAAUUACCAUUAUCUCCUCAGCCCCCCUCUAGUGUCAGUCCAAAAAUAAACAUUUUACAAAACAUAAGUUUAUCGAGUCCAAAAUCCGAAGAAACGAUCGAAAUGAUAAAGAACGAAGUCGACAGUUACAUGGCGCAAAAGGCUUUGGCAGCCGAGCAAAACAACGUGGCCUCCCAACAACCUGGUUGUUCCAAUGAAAACGAAGCACCUAAAAACGUCAAUAAUAUGAAAUCAACAUCGCAAAAUUACAAAUACAUUUCUUCGCCCACCUCAGUUAAUGACGCGGGUACUAAAACUGUAAAAGUGUGUCCUAUUCGUAAGACCACAGCAAAAACACCUACCGGCCAAAAACUUAUCAUUGUUUCGAACCCUCAGACUAUUACCACCCCAAGCAUACUACAACGCACUCUUACAAUACCUUUUGUUAAGAAUAUUUCGAUGAAGAACUUCGACAAAUUCAAAAUUGUAUCCACAAAUGCCACUCCUGUUACAUUGAAUCUCACAGCUGUGACGAAUACUGUCGCUAACACGAGUAAUACUAGCACAAUACCCAAGCAUAAAAUAUUGUCCGUCAAGACGAACACAGGGGGCAAAAAGAUAAUCUCACUGUCUCAUUUACAAGCCCUUACGGCAAAAGGUGGCAUCCGUAUGCUACCCCUGGGCACUAAAAUAAUUACUACCAAAGGUCCUAUCAUUAAUUCCACGUCAGCUCCCGUUUAUAUCAUGAACAGCAUGGGUAAUGCGCAAACAGUGACCAAGAGUAGCCUUACAACUCCUCUCAUGGUUCCGUCAAAAUUGCAAACAAACAGUCUUGUAGUGAACAAUAACGUAAGCGUUAAUUCGGACUUUCAUCAAAGCAACACUAAUUCGGAAGAAGAAGUUCCCAAUAAAUCUAUCGUUUUGGAGACUUCGAUGGAAUCGGAAAGCCUUCCGGAUGAUAUUGAAAGUCAUAUAACACAAUUGACUGAAAUACCUCAAACAACUGUCGACCAUAGAACGGUCGAAGAGGAACACUGCAACAUUAAAUUAGGAACUAGCGAAUUACACGACGAUAACGGGAUGGUACAUGAACAGUACGUGGUCGAUCAAAAUGAAGAGCUACAGAACGAAAUCAUUCAUGAAAAUCAUUUCCUAGAAGAGCAUGAGAUCGACGGGAGUGAAAUUAUAGAAGAAGAAGGAGAAGAAAUUAUUCAAGAAGAUGGGGAAAUCAUUGAAGACGAAACUGUAGUUGUUCAAGAUAAAUACAUCAUUGAUGACACUAUAAUUGCCGAAGAUUCUGAAGAUAGUUACAUUAUUAUAGAUAAAACUGCGGAUAUUGAACCUUAUGAAGAAGAAAGAAACUCUUCAAUGCACCUUAUCAAUUUUGAAGACAACAGUCAGAAAUCCAGUAUGGAAUUCGGCGAGUUAGAGAUAGCGACUGAAAAUAAUUGCGCCAAAAUUCAAACAAAUAUACGUUGAGACUUUUCAAGUCCCCAAAAAAGGAGACACCACAUAGGAUAAAAACAUUCGUACAAGACACAGAUUUGAUUGAUAAAAGUUCGAUUAUUUAUAACAUGAAAAACAGCCAAUUGGUUUUAUUUCUUUAGAAAAUGUACAUUAUCCUUAAAUGUUUAAAAUGGUUCAUCGGUUAUUUAUUUUAGAGUAAUUUAUAUUUAUAGUAAACUUGUAAAGCUGUACAUGCUUCUCAUUUUGCUAAAGACGAAAAUGUAAAUAAAUACGUUUUUUAAAAAAAUAAUAAAUCCUCAACU
rnacentral:misc_RNA from 1 species